AGAAAAAAGUAUUAUGGAGGUACAGAGGGUUUUGAUCUCUCAAGUGCAGGUUCGAUUCCUGGUUUUCUAA
rnacentral:tRNA from 1 species